rnacentral:tRNA from 1 species
GGAGAGAUGGCUGAGUGGCUGAAAGCGGCAGUCCCGAAAACUGCUAGGGUUGCAAGACCCUCGAAGGUUCGAAUCCUUCUCUCUCCG